UGGGGAAUUUUCCGCAAUGGGCGAGAGCCUGACGGAGCAACGCCGCGUGAGGGAGGACGGCCUGUGGGUUGUAAACUUCUUUUCUCAGGGAAGAAGAACUGACGGUACCUGAGGAAUCAGCAUCGGCUAACUCCGUGCCAGCAGCCGCGGUAAGACGGAGGAUGCAAGCGUUAUCCGGAAUUAUUGGGCGUAAAGCGUCCGCAGGCGGCCGUUCAAGUCUGCUGUCAAAGCCCGCAGCUCAACUGUGGAUGGGCAGUGGAAACUGAAUGGCUAGAGCGUGGUAGGGGUAGAGGGAAUUCCUAGUGUAGCGGUGAAAUGCGUAGAUAUUAGGAAGAACACCAGUGGCGAAGGCGCUCAACUAGGCCGUAACUGACACUCAGGGACGAAAGCGAGGGUAGCCAAAGGGAUUAGAUACCCCCGUAGUCC
rnacentral:rRNA from 1 species